UGGAAUGGGGAGAAACCGAAUAAUUAUCAUUAGCAGUCUCAACAUAUAUUGCUAGAUAAAAGGCCACAUGUUGGAAGACUAAUCAAGAACGUUCCAACUCAUCAACAAAUACAAACUUUUGAGCUCCCAAAGAUCCUUCAUCAUUUCCCUAGAAAUUAGAGGCCUCUUUCUUUCUUUCUUUUUUUUUUUUCUCUCACAUUGUUUAGGAGAACCCACGGUAAGAGUAUCCUCUCUCUACCGCUUCAUAUAACAAAUAUGUCCUCCAAAAACCAGGUUGACUUUUUUAGAGGAGGUAGCCAAUCCGUGUCAGGAGGUAGCCAAUUCGUAUCGGGAUUAUCCAAUGCCCACCCCAAAGCGUCCACUAUCAGCGGAGUAGACUUCGCGAAUGCACACCCUAGCUACCAAAAAAUGUAACGCAAUUCAUCCGACAACGUAUCAACGUAAGCCUUGAUUGACACUUCCCCAAGAUACUUCGCCUCCACGAGUUUUGCUUUGAUUUUCUUCCCCAUGGAAACAGGAUCAUCGGAACCAGAAGGGAUUGGGUAAUCCUCGACGUUCCAUAAGACACAUGUCUUACCAUCUGCGAAAGGAGAACAGAUACACAAUUACGAGACUGGGAAAUAUUAAAAUAAGAUCAUGAUGAAUACCAUAUAACAGAUGAAAGAUUAUAUUUAGAUUUAGGUUAUUGUGAUCUUACGUACUUAACUACUUAUGUAUGAAUCGAAGUCUGGUCCAUAUAUACUAUCGUCAGGUAACCGCGGAUCACAAUAACGCACCGGCGAAUCAGGGUUAGCUUCGUCCGAGAACGACGGAUCAGACAUAGCUUCGUUGGAGAACGACGGAUCAGAGAUAGCUUCGUCGGAGAACGGCGGAUCAGACAUAGCUUCGUUGGAAAACGGCGGAUCAGGCAUAGCCAAAGAUAAAUGGGUGACGUGAAGUUUGGUUAAUUAUUUUCAAAAA